rnacentral:rRNA from 1 species
AUUGAACGCUGGCGGCAGGCCUAACACAUGCAAGUCGAGCGAGCGGCGGACGGGUUCGUAAUGUCUGGGAAACUUCCUGAUGGAGGGGGAUAACUCCUGGAAACGGUAGCUAAUACCGCAUACCAUCAGAUGUGCCCAGAUGGGAUUAGCUCGUGGGUGGGGUAACGGCUCACCUAGGCGACGAUCCCUAGCUGGUCUGAGAGGAUGACCCGCCACACUGGAACUGAGACACGGUCCAGACGCCUACGGGAGGCAGCAGUGGGGAAUAUUGCACAAUGGGGGCAAGCCUGAUGCAGCCAUGCCGCGUGUGUGAAGAAGGCCUUCGGGUUGUAAAGCACUUUCAGCGGGGAGGCGUGACCCGCAGAAGAAGCACCGGCUAACUCCGUGCCAGCCGCCGCGGUAAUUC